UUCUUUAUUAGACAAGGAGAAAGUUCGAGGGUUUCUCUAAUUAUGCAUUGUUGAUGAGGUAUCAGCACAUCGAGUUUAUGAUUUAUUGAUAGAGCACGAGCAUGGUGGUAAUGGAAGCAGCUAUUAUAAGAAAAAAUAGAUGCUACAAGGUUCACAGUUGAUAUGGAGCAAAUUAAGGAGCAACAGUGAGAAGGGUAGGGGGAAAUAAAAACGAAGCUGAGGAAGGAGAAAGCAGAGCAGACAUAUGUGUCGUGUGCCCAUAAAUUAUCAUUAAAGAGAGGCAGAAAAAGUCAUGAAAGCAACGGAAAAGUUGUUGCUUAUGAUUAUGCUUACCAUUUUGUUCAACCAAACCAAUCAAUUCUUAGAAUUCAUUAGCUUUACUACACAUUUCUUAGCAUUUUAUUUCUUGCCCUUUUUUAUAUACUUGGCCUUGUUUGAAACCGAAAUUUUUUUUGAAUGGAUUACUUUAUUUAUAAUUAAAUUGAUUAUUCUAAUUUAUAAGAAUAAAA